rnacentral:rRNA from 1 species
ACAUACGACCAUAGGGUGUAGAAAAUAGGCCUUCCUGUCUGCUCAGCCGUACUCAAGCCACACGCCGGUGAGUUAGUAGUUGGGUGGGUGACCACCAGCGAAUCCUCACUGUUGUAUGUU